UAAUACGGAGGGUGCAAGCGUUACUCGGAAUUACUGGGCGUAAAGGGCGCGUAGGCGGUUCGAUUAGUCAGAUGUGAAAGCCCGAGGCUUAACCUCGGAAGUGCAUUUGAAACUGUCGAACUUGAGUAUGGGAGAGGGAAGUGGAAUUCCUGGUGUAGAGGUGAAAUUCGUAGAUAUCAGGAGGAACACCGGUGGCGAAGGCGACUUCCUGGACCAAUACUGACGCUGAGGCGCGAAGGCGUGGGGAGCAAACAGGAUUAGAUACCCUGGUAGUCCACGCAGUAAACGGUGAACACUAGGUGUAGCGGGUAUUGACCCCUGCUGUGCCGCAGCUAACGCAUUAAGUGUUCCGCCUGGGAAGUACGGCCGCAAGGUUA
rnacentral:rRNA from 1 species